rnacentral:lncRNA from 1 species
GGAGGAAGAGAUAAGGAGGGUAAGUGAUAAGGAGGGUAAGUGAUAAGGAGGGUAAGUGAUAAGGAGGGUAAAUUGAAGAAAAAUAAAGGGUUGAGUACAAGGGGCUAUUCCAGGAAGCAGGAAGCAGGAUCAUUGAGUUAGCCUGAACUGUCCUAAAUAUUCAAGAAAUGACAUUGCAUUUGUUUUGAAUAUAUAUAUGUAGAGAGAGAGAGAGAGAGAGAGAGUUGAAAUUAGCAUGUUGUAAUUGACUUGACAACCACCAACACAUAUUGAAGUUUAGCUUUCAAAAUGAAACAGAAAACCCCCCAAUAUUUACCUGAAAAUUAAGCGAGAUAUCUGACUGUUUGUCAAAGUUAGCUCACUAAUUUAAUCCUGCUUUCUGGAAAGGCUCCUCACUGUGAAUCUAGGUCAUUGUGAGGAUAGAGAAUAUGUUUGUGUCCAAAACUGCACCCUAUUCCCUAUUUAGUGCACCUACUGUAUUUAGGGCCCAUAGGGGAUCUGGUCAAAAGUAGUGCACUGUGUAGGGAAUAGGGGUGCCUUUUAGGACGUGGCCUAUUUGACCACCGACAGUUGUGUGUAUGAUAGUUGUAGAAUACUACACAGGUUUAUACAUUUGAUUGAUGUCUAUUGAGACUGUAUGACAUGAAUGUCUUAUCCUAUGAAUGUCUACUAUCUGAACAGUAUGUCUGUAAUGUCUCUUUGUGCACACGUCUAGGAAUGUCUCAAUGACCACACUAUGAAUGUACGUGUACCUCUCCAGUUAGGCAAAGGGGUCUGUUCCGUCCAUUCAUGAAAUGAGGAAUUCUUAUAGAAAAUAAAUUCAAGCGUUGAACAAUUCAAGGUUUGAAUUUGAAAUUGAAACGGACAAAAUUCAACCCCUUGAGUUGAGAAUGAAACUACGCCCAACCCUGCACUGAAUCUGUCUUUGUUCUGUCCCUCUCACUGUCUGACUGUCAUCUGUAGCUAGUACAAUCUAAAAUAAUGUCUCUCAAGUAUGUUUUUCCUAUGAAUGUAUUCAGGCUAUCUAUGUAUGAGUAUACUAGCAGUGUUAUUGUCAAUGAAUGUAAAUCUUUGAAUGUUCUCUGACUGCCUGUCAAUGAAUCUAAGUGUUUGAAUGUUCUCUGACUGCCUGUCAUUGAAUGUAAAUCUUUGAAUGUUCUCUGAUUGUGUCUGAAUAUAUUUCAGGUUCCGUAGGACUACUUUGAGCCCUGCGCGGGCAUGCAUUUUAAACCAGAGCUCUACCAAUGCCAGGCAACAUUCAGGCCCUACCCUGCCCAGGCCCAAUUGCUUCUGCCAAAUUUAAGGCCCAUUCAUGCACGAAGCCCAAAAUCUGAAAUCACUUCCUCUGUUAGUAAAUCCAUUAGCUGCUCUGUCUGUCACUCGCUCCCUGCACACAGCUCGCUCUGCAUGCGCUCUGAGUCUGUGAGUAACCAUAGCGACGGCUCCUCUUGGGCUGCUCAAUGACGAGAUAUGAGAGGGCUGUUAGCUGUUAGCUAAUUUUCACUCAAGGAACAUUAUUAUUUUCUGUCAAAUAAUCUCUCCUGUUUUAUAUUUGACAAUGUUGAAG